rnacentral:rRNA from 1 species
UNUGACUUGAGUGCAGAAGGGGAGAGUGGAAUUCCAUGUGUAGCGGUGAAAUGCGUAGAUAUAUGGAGGAACACCAGUGGCGAAAGCGGCUCUCUGGUCUGUCACUGACGCUGAGGCUCGAAAGCGUGGGUAGCGAACAGGAUUAGAUACCCUGGUAGUCCACGCCGUAAACGAUGAGUGCUAGGUGUUAGGCCCUUUCCGGGGCUUAGUGCCGGAGCUAACGCAAUAAGCACUCCGCCUGGGGAGUACGACCGCAAGGUUGAAACUCAAAGGAAUUGACGGGGGCCCGCACAAGCGGUGGAGCAUGUGGUUUAAUUCGAAGCAACGCGAAGAACCUUACCAGGUCUUGACAUCCCGAUGCUAUUCUUAGAGAUAGGAAGUUACUUCGGUACAUCGGAGACAGGUGGUGCAUGGUUGUCGUCAGCUCGUGUCGUGAGAUGUUGGGUUAAGUCCCGCAACGAGCGCAACCCUUAUUGUUAGUUGCCAUCAUUAAGUUGGGCACUCCAGCGAGACUGCCGGUAAUAAACCGGAGGAAGGUGGGGAUGACGUCAAAUCAUCAUGCCCCUUAUGACCUGGGCUACACACGUGCUACAAUGGUCGGUACAACGAGUUGCGAGCCGGUGACGGCAAGCUAAUCUCUGAAAGCCGAUCUCAGUUCGGAUUGGAGGCUGCAACUCGCCUCCAUGAAGUCGGAAUCGCUAGUAAUCGCGGAUCAGCACGCCGCGGUGAAUGCGUUCCCGGGCCUUGUACACACCGCCCGUCACACCACGAGAGUUUGUAACACCCGAAGUCGGUGAG